UACGUAGGAUGCAAGCGUUGUCCGGAAUUAUUGGGCGUAAAGAGUUCGUAGGCGGUGAUCUAAGUCUGGUGUUAAAGCUCGGAGCUCAACUCCGACAUGGCAUUGGAAACUGGAUCGCUAGAGUGUGAUAGAGGUAACUGGAAUUCCAGGUGUAGCGGUGAAAUGCGUAGAUAUCUGGAGGAACACCGGUGGCGAAAGCGAGUUACUGGAUCAUAACUGACGCUGAGGAACGAAAGCCAGGGUAGCAAAAGGG
rnacentral:rRNA from 1 species